rnacentral:rRNA from 1 species
AUGGGACCCUGCGGUGCAUUAGCUAGUUGGUAGGGGUAAACGGGCCUACCAAGGCGAUGAUGCAUAGCCGAGUUGAGAGACUGAUCGGCCACAUUGGGACUGAGACACGGCCCAAACUCCUACGGGAGGCAGCAGUAGGGAAUCUUCCACAAUGGACGCAAGUCUGAUGGAGCAACGCCGCGUGAGUGAAGAAGGGUUUCGGCUCGUAAAGCUCUGUUGUUGGUGAAGAAGGACAGGGGGUAGUAACUGACCUUUGUUUGACGGUAAUCAAUUAGAAAGUCACGGCUAACUACGUGCCAGCAGCCGCGGUAAA